GCUUUGGCAACUAGAUGCAGUGCUAGGCUUCACUCUGCAAGGUGUUUAAAAAGAAAAACAGGUUUACCCAGGAUUUAUCAUGGAGCGGAAUAAGAGUGCCUCUCUCUCUAGAUGGGAACUUUGCUUCAUGGGACAUUACAACUGUAUGCCUUAAGGCAGAAAAACGCAUAAAGGUAUCUGGGAAAGUAAAUUGCCAGAAGCGAAGAGCACCCUUCCUUUCAAAAUCCUGUAAGUACUCCUCUCUCCUACAUCAAACUGAUCCUAUGUAGAGCAGCGCUGGCUGGUUUGAGAUUCCCUGGCUUUUGCAAACAUCUGUCAUUUCAACGCACACACGAGGGUGCGUGCGCCUGUGUAACAUGUUGUGUGCGGACUCGACUAUCACCGGUUGUUAAUGAAACUGAAGAUUAUAGGGGGAAAUACGAAAGCCUCGAUGCAAUAGCUGUUGUUUGGGUUUUUUUUUUAUUAUUUCUUUUUCCUAAUAAGAAUAUUAAAUCCCGUGGGGAAAAGGAUCCUAGAGGUUUGCGGUGAGGAGUAAAGCCAACGCAACGUGAGCAGAGAACUGUAGAUCUGCACCACGCUGAAGCAGCCCAGAAUAAAAGUUUCGCGUACUGUACAUUUGGGGUCUUUCUAGCUAUUCUGCCAGUAGCUUCCUCUAUUCUUUCGUGAGCCCAGCACAUCAGCAUCGCGGACUCCUCGCGCACAAUCAAUACAUUUUGCAUAACACGAGUCUCUCCCGCACGCUCUCUCCUCUUGCUCUCCCUGUUUUUGUUUGCCUCUCGUAGGCGGACGGGGUUUCUACAAGGGGGUUUUCUUUAAAGAAAUCAGCGCCGGCCAUGUAGAGUCUCAAAAGCAAGCCGCCGCGCCGUAGCUGCUGCUAGUCACUGCUUCCUCGGGUCAGAAAUUUCGCUGGAGCUCACCAAAGCAACCUUCCGAGCCUGCGGUUCGGUUUCAGACAGACACAGCUUGCC